AGAGAGAGACAUGCGUGCAUAUCAAUAAGCGGAGGAAAAGAAACUAACAAGGAUUCCCCUAGUAACGGCGAGUGAAGCGGGGAAGAGCUCAAAUUUGAAAUCUUAAAGGGUUUCCCUUUACGAAUUGUAGUUUAAAGAAGUGUUUUCUGUUGAGGUUUUGGUAAAAGUUCUUUGGAAUAGGACAUCAUAGAGGGUGAGAAUCCCGUAUUUGACCUUUACUUUCAACUUUGUGAUACACUUUCAAAGAGUCGGAUUGUUUGGGAAUGCAGUCCAAAAUGGGUGGUAAAUUUCAUCUAAAGCUAAAUAUUGGCGAGAGACCGAUAGCGAACAAGUACCGUGAGGGAAAGAUGAAAAGAACUUUGAAAAGAGAGUUAAACAGUACGUGAAAUUGUCAAAAGGGAAGCGUUUGACACCAGUGUUGUUUUUCUGAAAAUCAAUUAAAGAACUGUUUAUGCUAAGUUGUUUAGACUUUAUCAGCUAUCUGUUUAGUUUUGAGCUUUUCUUUAAUGCACUUUUCAGUUAACAAGUCAACAUCAAUUUCUUUUGCUGUAAAAAAGCUUGAGGAAGGUGGCUUGAGAUUCGUCUUAAGUGUUUAUAGCCUCUUGCCUAUGCAGUCGGAGAGAUUGAGGUCUGCAGCGUAGAUCCUUCGGGGCUAAAUGCAUUUGUGCUAAGUUAUAGCAUUUAUAGACAACUUGUUGACUAUGAUUUGUCUUGUAGCUUACUCGCUUAUGUUAUUUUACCUACGCUUAGGAUGUUGACGCAUGAGAUAUACGC
rnacentral:rRNA from 1 species